rnacentral:rRNA from 2 species
GCAGUCGAACGCGUUGGCCAAUUGAUUGAUGGUGCUUGCACCUGAUUGAUUUUGGUCGCCAACGAGUGGCGGACGGGUGAGUAACACGUAGGUAACCUGCCCAGAAGCGGGGGACAACAUUUGGAAACAGAUGCUAAUACCGCAUAACAGCGUUGUUCGCAUGAACAACGCUUAAAAGAUGGCUUCUCGCUAUCACUUCUGGAUGGACCUGCGGUGCAUUAGCUUGUUGGUGGGGUAACGGCCUACCAAGGCGAUGAUGCAUAGCCGAGUUGAGAGACUGAUCGGCCACAAUGGGACUGAGACACGGCCCAUACUCCUACGGGAGGCAGCAGUAGGGAAUCUUCCACAAUGGGCGCAAGCCUGAUGGAGCAACACCGCGUGAGUGAAGAAGGGUUUCGGCUCGUAAAGCUCUGUUGUUAAAGAAGAACACGUAUGAGAGUAACUGUUCAUACGUUGACGGUAUUUAACCAGAAAGUCACGGCUAACUACGUGCCAGCAGCCGCGGUAAUACGUAGGUGGCAAGCGUUAUCCGGAUUUAUUGGGCGUAAAGAGAGUGCAGGCGGUUUUCUAAGUCUGAUGUGAAAGCCUUCGGCUUAACCGGAGAAGUGCAUCGGAAACUGGAUAACUUGAGUGCAGAAGAGGGUAGUGGAACUCCAUGUGUAGCGGUGGAAUGCGUAGAUAUAUGGAAGAACACCAGUGGCGAAGGCGGCUACCUGGUCUGCAACUGACGCUGAGACUCGAAAGCAUGGGUAGCGAACAGGAUUAGAUACCCUGGUAGUCCAUGCCGUAAACGAUGAGUGCUAGGUGUUGGAGGGUUUCCGCCCUUCAGUGCCGGAGCUAACGCAUUAAGCACUCCGCCUGGGGAGUACGACCGCAAGGUUGAAACUCAAAGGAAUUGACGGGGGCCCGCACAAGCGGUGGAGCAUGUGGUUUAAUUCGAAGCUACGCGAAGAACCUUACCAGGUCUUGACAUCUUGCGCCAACCCUAGAGAUAGGGCGUUUCCUUCGGGAACGCAAUGACAGGUGGUGCAUGGUCGUCGUCAGCUCGUGUCGUGAGAUGUUGGGUUAAGUCCCGCAACGAGCGCAACCCUUGUUACUAGUUGCCAGCAUUAAGUUGGGCACUCUAGUGAGACUGCCGGUGACAAACCGGAGGAAGGUGGGGACGACGUCAGAUCAUCAUGCCCCUUAUGACCUGGGCUACACACGUGCUACAAUGGACGGUACAACGAGUCGCGAACUCGCGAGGGCAAGCAAAUCUCUUAAAACCGUUCUCAGUUCGGACUGCAGGCUGCAACUCGCCUGCACGAAGUCGGAAUCGCUAGUAAUCGCGGAUCAGCAUGCCGCGGUGAAUACGUUCCCGGGCCUUGUACACACCGCCCGUCACACCAUGAGAGUUUGUAACACCCAAAGUCGGUGGGGU